AAAUUUAGAUAAUUGAUCCACCAAAUAAGAAAAAUCUCGCAUAGCCAAUAGGUUAGAAACGCGCGUAUACUAUUAGCUUAUAUAUGUAGAAAACAAUUAUGUAAUUAUUAUCGUUAUAACUUAUAGCUACAGAAAUUAAUGGAAGCAUGGCAAUAUAAGUUACAUUCACUAUACAAAAUUAAAAUAUACUUAAAUAUGAAUACUUAAAUACGCGAAAUAAUGUGUGACAGUCUUUAUAGUUAGAAUUUUGUAAACUGCUUAAGCCUAUAGUUUCCAUUUGGUCGUUAGUUGUCGCUGGCACGACAAGCGGUAGAUGUGAAAUAGUCUAAUAUAAUAAUAGUCUUUUUGUGUGUUAUAUGCAAAUCAGUCUUAAUGAUUGCAGAGUUUUAUAAAGUUUUGUUGACACUCUAUUACAUCAGCCACUUGUCGUGCCAGCGACAACUAACGACCAAAUAGAAACUAGGCUUUAAUGUUUUUAGUAUGUUACUUUCUAGUAAAUUGUAAUUCUCAAAAUUAUACAGUGUUUCGAUCAAUUCAAUGUAUUGUGCAAGUAUAUGCAUGACUGGUAUUAAUGCUGAAAACUAUAUAGGGGCCGCUGUUGCUGCAUGGAAACAUUG